rnacentral:rRNA from 1 species
AGCUGCAGUAUCUUGACUGUACAAAGGUAGCAUAAUCAUUAGUUUUUUAAUUGAAAGCUGGAAUGAAUGGUCGAAUAAGGAAAUAACUGUCUCUUUUUAAUUAAGUUGAAUUUUAUUUUUAAGUCAAAAAGCUUAAAUUUUUUAAAAAGACGAGAAGACCCUAUAGAGUUUAAUAGAUUUUAAAAUUGAAUAUUUAUAGAUUUAAUUAUAUUAAAUUUUAAGUUUAUUUUGUUGGGGUGACAUUAGAAUUGAAUAAACUUCUUAUUUUUAAGUCAUUAAUAAAUGAAUAGAUGAUCCUAAUUUAUGGAUUAAAAGAAUAAAUUACCUUAGGGAUAACAGCGUAAUUUUCUUGGAGAGUUCUAAUCGAUAAGAGAGAUUGCGACCUCGAUGUUGGAUUAAAGUUUAAAAUUGGUGUAGAAGCUAAUAAUUUAAGACUGUUCGAC